CUACGGGAGGCAGCAGUAGGGAAUCUUCCGCAAUGGACGAAAGUCUGACGGAGCAACGCCGCGUGAGUGAUGAAGGCUUUCGGGUCGUAAAACUCUGUUGUUAGGGAAGAACAAGUGCUAGUUGAAUAAGCUGGCACCUUGACGGUACCUAACCAGAAAGCCACGGCUAACUACGUGCCAGCAGCCGCGGUAAUACGUAGGUGGCAAGCGUUAUCCGGAAUUAUUGGGCGUAAAGCGUGCGCAGGCGGUUUUGUAAGUCAGAUGUGAAAUCCCCGAGCUUAACUUGGGAACUGCGUUUGAAACUACAAGACUAGAGUGUGUCAGAGGGGGGUAGAAUUCCACGUGUAGCAGUGAAAUGCGUAGAGAUGUGGAGGAAUAUCAAUGGCGAAGGCAGCCCCCUGGGAUAACACUGACGCUCAUGCACGAAAGCGUGGGGAGCGAACAGGAUUAGAUACCCUGGUAGUCCACGCCCUAAACGAUGUCAACUAGUUGUUGGUGGAGUAAGAUCCAUGAGUAACGUAGCUAACGCGUGAAGGUGACCGCCUGGGGAGUACGGUCGCAAGAUUAAAACUCAAAU
rnacentral:rRNA from 1 species